rnacentral:lncRNA from 1 species
AGAGAGAGAGAGAAGAGAGGAGAGAGAGAGAGAGGGAGAGAGAGAGGGGUUCGUUCCUGUAGGUAAUUCCUCUUCUUGGCUUUUCAUUCCUGUUCUUGAUUCUGUGAAUCGGAGGCUCCGGCAUUCUUGGGACGUGAAGAAAUCUUGUUUUUCAUUCGCGUCGAACACGCAGAUCGAAUUCCCGGGUUCUUGGAAUGGGUUGACCUGACGUUUCUCUCUGAAAAUGUCUGCGGCGGGCUCUCAGACGGAGCCCGCCGAAUGGCGGCUGCAGGAAUGGGCUUCUCCUCUGCGGCUGGCCCGCCAGCCCGAGGUCAGCGCCCCCCCGGGACCAUCCCCGGCGUUGACAGCCGGCGGCGGCGGGGGGAGAUGACUCUGGAGGAGUUCUUGGCCCGAGCUUGGGGCCCCCCGGCCAUGGAGACGGGUCCCGUCACCGCCCCCCAAGAACUGGAACAGACGGCGACGGAGGAGACGCCCGAGAAGAAGACGAGUCGACCCACCAGGCAGGCGGUAAGAACUCUUCCCUUCUCUCUCUCUCUCUCUCUCUCCUCUGCUGCCGGAAGAAGAAGAACAAGAUGGGGAACCCUAAUUAAUUUUUAUUCUUAUUUUUGCGGUUUCUCCGCCUCGAUUCGGUCCGAUUGGCCGUCUUUUCAAAGUUCUUGAUGAUCUGUUCUUUACAGAUUUUUUUUUCAAUUUUUUUAUUCCUCUUUUGCUAGUAAUGCAUUAUCUCUGUUGUUGUUGUCACAGGAGGAGGACGCAGGAGGGGUUGACUAUGCUCCCCGGCGCAAGCUUCGGCGAACCCGCUCCCUUUGACCUCUGCACAGUUGACUUCCCCGAUGUUCUCGUUGACUUCUGUGCACAACCUCUGUUCUUUCAGAGGGAUAACUUGGAGCACUCUGGUUUUGGUCGUCGGCGGCCAUGGUUUUCUUAUCUUUCAGCUGCUUUCGGGUGACAGCAAUUUUUAGCCUGAAUAUUAAUUUAUAAUUAAAUUAACAGUUCAUAUAAUUAUAUUCCAUUUUUAGUAUGAAGAUU